UGUUUAUGCAAAUGAAAGAUUGACACUUGUUUAGUUCUGAUUGGUCAAUAAGCUGAGAUCUGAUUGGUUGAGGCAGUUAAGCUGUGAUUGAUUGGUUGGUUCAGGUGAGCACUGAAAAGUCUCAAAGUUAAAAACGUACAGUUUUCCAGGGUUUUCGGGCAACUCAAAGAAUAUGUGUAACCUCUACUCACCAAAUGGCCACUUGGCUCUAUUUUAAAUUUAGGCCCAGUUAGCUACUUGGGAUCCAUCAUGAAGGACUGGCUCUUUCAGGUUCACAUUUGUUCACCAAGUGAUGAACCUCAUUUUUGAGUGUGGAGAUUGGAACUUAGGGAAGUGAUUUGUAACUUUGCUCCAGCUUGAGACUUGGCUUGGAAAUAACCUCCAAGGCCUGGAAUACCAGCAUUGACAGCCUUACCUGGGUGCACCUCAGGAGUAUGCUCAAAGAGUGAGAAAGGAGUUUGGAGACAGAAAGACGGAAGAGUUGAUAUUCCGCUCACAGAUGUCAAUUUUCAAAGAAAUUUCUGCCCAUUAUGGAUGCACCACAAAUACUAAAGUCUAUGCAAUAUAUAUUUUGAAAAGAAUUUUUUUCGUGAAACUGUAAUUUUCGUUCAUAAGAGUAUAUUUCCUGACUUAGCAUUUUAUUGACUAGAUUAAAAUUUUGUUCCCCAAAGUAAGUGUGUGUGUGUGUGUGUGUGUGUGUGUGCACGCACACGUGUGUGUGCAUUCCUGAGGAUUAUUCUAAGGCUGAACUCCUUCAUAGAAAUGGAAUUUUUCUCUCUAUGCUCACAUUUUAAAACAGCUCACACAAGCCAGGCAGAAAC
rnacentral:lncRNA from 1 species